UUCGCCCCUUGAGGCGUUGCAGUGCGACUGAUUGUGUCGUUGCUGUGUCAUAAGGUGGCGUAGAGUAAAGGAUUAUGUCUAUACUCUGCACCCCUUAAAUCAAAUGAUGGGUGCCUAGUGUCAUUUAUAGUCCUACAAA